UUAGAACGUUUUAGGGUCAAAU
rnacentral:miRNA from 1 species